rnacentral:tRNA from 2 species
GCGGCUGUGGCGAAACUGGCAGACGCGCUAUCUUCAGGCGGUAGUACUUCGGUAUGUGGGUUCGAAUCCCAUCAGCCGCACCA